rnacentral:sRNA from 1 species
CUAUCAACCUGUUUUGUUGGACUCCUAAAAGUGCUACUUACAGACAGCAUGCUCAACCUCCAAAGCCAACUUCUGACAGCAGUGGAGUCAGAAGUUCGGCACCUUAUUUCUCUGCUGAGUGUCCGGAUCCUCCAAAGACAGAUCUGAAGAUACAUUAACAUAUACUCAUGCAAUCAGCUGCAUACCUAUUCUUAAAUAAGAAGAAAUCUUUUUUACAUAAAGAAGGACAUGUCUGCUCCCCAUUCUACCAUGAUUGUAAGUUUCCUGAAGCCUGCCAAGCAUUGCUGAACUGUGAAACCUCUUUCCUUUAUAAAUUACCCAGUUUGGGGUUUGUCCUUAUUAGCAGUAUGAGAACAAACUAAUAUAUUAAGUAGGUACUGGUACAGUUGGGUGCUGCUGUAAGGAUACCGAAAAUGUGGAAGUGAUUUUGGAACUGGAUAACAGGCAGAGGUUGGAACAGUUUGGAGGGCUCAGAAGACAUGAAAAUGUGGGAAAAUUUGGAGCUUCCUAGAGACUUGGAAUACUCAGAAGACAGGCAGAUGUGGGAAAAUUUGGAACUCCC